GUGCUCACUUCGGAGCACAUAUACUAAAAUUGGAACGAUACAGAAGAUUAGCAUGGCCCUUGCACAAGGAUGACACCCAAAAUUCAGCCUGGAGACACUAACUG
ensembl:snRNA U6 U6 spliceosomal RNA